UCUGAAGUUUGCUCCAU
rnacentral:sRNA from 1 species